UGUCGUUUUCCAGUGCUUCAUUGUCCUAGCGAGCGAUACCUCCGCCCUUAAAUCGCCCGGUCCGCAUUUGCGGGCCGCUGGCUUUUUAAGGGGACUAUCGGGUCAACCCGAUGGAAGUGCGAGGCAAUAACAGGCUCUGUGAUGCUAAUUGAUACCUACUCUGGGGGUGCUGGUGCGUCUUUU
rnacentral:rRNA from 1 species